GACGAACGCUGGCGGCGUGCUUAACACAUGCAAGUCGAACGGAAAGGCCCUGCCUUUGUGGGGUGCUCGAGUGGCGAACGGGUGAGUAACACGUGAGUAACCUGCCUUCGAGUUUGGGAUAACUUCAGGAAACUGGGGCUAAUACCGGAUAGGAGCUCCUGCUGCAUGGUGGGGGUUGGAAAGUUUCGGUGGUUGGGGUUGGAGUUGAGGGUUAUCUGCUUGUUGGUGGGGUAGUGGCUUACCAGGGCGUUGACGAGUAGCCUGCCUGGGAGGGUGACCGGCCGCAGUGGGACUGAGGUACGACCCAGACUCCUACGGAGGGAAGCGGUGGGAAAUAUUGCAAAAAGGGCGGAGUGCUGGAGCAGCGUCGCCGCGUGCGAGAUGACGGCCUUCAGGUUGGAAACCGCUUUCGCCUGUGACGAAGCGUGAGUGACGGUAAUGGAUAAAGAAGCACCGGCUAACUACGUG
rnacentral:rRNA from 1 species